rnacentral:rRNA from 1 species
AUUGAACGCUGGCGGAAUGCUUUACACAUGCAAGUCGAACGGCAGCACGGGGCAACCUGGUGGCGAGUGGCGAACGGGUGAGUAAUACAUCGGAACGUGCCCAAUCGUGGGGGAUAACGUAGCGAAAGUUACGCUAAUACCGCAUACGAUCUACGGAUGAAAGCGGGGGAUCGCAAGACCUCGCGCGAAUGGAGCGGCCGAUGUCAGAUUAGGUAGUUGGUGGGGUAAAGGCUCACCAAGCCAACGAUCUGUAGCUGGUCUGAGAGGACGACCAGCCACACUGGAACUGAGACACGGUCCAGACUCCUACGGGAGGCAGCAGUGGGGAAUUUUGGACAAUGGGCGAAAGCCUGAUCCAGCCAUUCCGCGUGCAGGAUGAAGGCCCUCGGGUUGUAAACUGCUUUUGUACGGAACGAGACGGUCCUGGUUAAUACCUGGGGCUAAUGACGGUACCGUAAGAAUAAGCACCGGCUAACUACGUGCCAGCAGCCGCGGUAAU